CCUUUUCUAAGUUUGUUUCUUUAUUUCUCUUUCACUUUAAUGUCUGCAAUCUAAGAUUUUUUUUUCUUCAAAUCUAUAGAUCUAUAAAUUAAUCUAAGAUAUUCUCUAUGCUUUGCUUUACUUCUCUUUAAUGGAAGAGAAGAAGCUAAAUAAAAACAAGAAAAAAUGGAGUAAGAUAACUACAAUUACUUUGGCCUAUUUGAGUUCUAUCGUUGUUUCUUCUAAUCAAAUAUUGUUUGUAAAGAAUAUUACUGCUAUAACUGCUAUAACUUCACUUAUAUCAUUAAUCAAUUAUUGUAUGUAAAGAGUGUACAGGUAGAUUUCUAAGAAACUGAUGAAAGUGAAAGUUCUACUUGUGAAUAAGGGUGUUUUUGUUCUCUGCAGAGUCUAGUCUAGGUUUAUGUUUUUCAUGUUUGAUUAAGAAAAUUAGCUUUCACUGCUGCCAAAAAAGAUAAAAAAAAAAAAGCUCCAAAGAGUAUUUUUAGAGAAGAAUUACAAGGAUUUAGAUACAUUGAACCCCAAAUUUCCUAUCUUGAUCCACAGAUAGAGUGCAGGGUCAUUGACAAGAAUGAUAGAUGAUGAAGAGAGAAAAGAUGCAUGCUUUGGUGGGUCGAUUAGCAGAGAAUGGAAGCCAAAAUUAUUGAUCCUGAUACUUCUAACCCAUUGCCUCCUAAUCAAAGAGGAGAGCUUUGGCUUAGAGGUCCCUUCAUUAUGAAAGAUUAUGUUGGUAAUGAAAGCAAGAAGUAUUCUAGCUAAAGCUCUUAGAUUUUCUCGUGGGAAUGGUUAUGUUUGCCAAAUUCUUGCAUUGCUUGAAGUUAAAUCGCAUUGAGCAGACUCGAUAUCUAUCUAUUUGAGCAAACCAGCGAGUGUAAUCCCAGAAGUUGUGGCAGUUGGCUGGCAUGGGCACAAAUGGAGAUGCAGCAGAAAAAUAACCUAGCUGCUAGACAACUCUUUGAGGAUCUACUGAAUUGGAACAUUUAGGGCUCGUUUGGAACGCCGUAUUAGGUCGUAUUGUAUUGUAUUGUAUUAUAUUGAAUUGGAUUAUAUAUCAUAUUUUUAUAUAAUACUAUGUUAACCUUUAAUUUAUACUAAAAUAUUAUAUAUUUAGGUGUCCAUAAAAGUUAAUACCACAUAUAGUUUUACAUAAAAAUAUUGCAUAAAAUACAAUUUAAUAUAAUACAAUACAAUACAAUACGACCUAAUACGGCAUUCCAAACGAGCCCUUACUUCACUCCCAUCUCACAUUGUUGAUGCAGCUGUGAUUAUGUAACUACUGUGAUCUUGAAAAGUUAUCACGCCAAGUUUUGUUUUUUUUUUUCUUUACUGAUUGAAGAGAUAGCUUCAAACAGAGGAUGUUUGGGUCUUUUGGAGAUUGAUGAGUUAUUUUUGUGAGAUACAUGUGUUCUCUCAAUUUCUAUACUGGCCCAUACUGUCAUUCACAAAUAUUUUAUUUAUUUAUUUUUUUUUUUGA